rnacentral:lncRNA from 1 species
AUGACGUGCUUCAAAACCACAGAAAAACCACAGCUGUGUUUGUUGACCAGCGACUUGAAGAAUGAAAUCAACUUUUUCCAUGAGGAAACUUCAAAGGAGGCUAGCCUAGAAUCCACUCUCCUUGCUUGGAGGAAGGAGAAUUUUAAUGCCACUUUGGCUACAAGAGGACAAGAUGAUGACUUCAAGAACAAAGCAAAAGGAUUGGUAUGCAGAUGGGUGGCAGCUUCCCAUGUUUGUAGGUAA